UCCAGACUCCUACGGGAGGCAGCAGUGGGGGAUAUUGUACAAUGGGGGAAACCCUGAUGCAGCGACGCCGCGUGGGUGAAGAAGUAUUUCGGUAUGUAAAGCCCUAUCAGCAGGGAAGAAAGAAGACGGUACCUGACUAAGAAGCCCCGGCUAACUACGUGCCAGCAGCCGCGGUAAUACGUAGGGGGCGAGCGUUAUCCGGAUUCACUGGGUGUAAAGGGAGCGUAGACGGCCGUGCAAGCCAGGAGUGAAAGCCCGGGGCCCAACCCCGGGACUGCUCUUGGAACUGUGCGGCUGGAGUGCGGGAGGGGCAGGCGGAAUUCCUGGUGUAGCGGUGAAAUGCGUAGAUAUCAGGAGGAACACCGGCGGCGAAGGCGGCCUGCUGGACCGCGACUGACGUUGAGGCUCGAAAGCGUGGGGAGCGAACAGGAUUAGAUACCCUCGUA
rnacentral:rRNA from 1 species